AUUUAACUGUUGUGAUAUUGUUAAUAAUGGUUAAUUGUGCUGUAUCUGUAAUGUGAUGUAUAAGAUUACAUUACAGAUGCUGUAUAUUUUGGACAUGAAUGUUGUGAACAUGGUAUUCAUGUAUGGGUACUGUAUGCAGUUCCAGUCACUGAUGAAUACCAGAGACUAUUUCUAUUGUGCAGAGUACCGAAUUGAGCUGUGUUUUCAAAUGUUUUUUGCUCAUUGCAAUAAUUGGGGAACCUUCCUAGUGUACGUAUGUCAUCGGACAGCACAAGAUGUUGAAGAGUAGAGAACAUUGUGACAAUGCCACAGUGUAAUCUGACAAUAAGCACAUGAUGCAUUUCCAUGCAUCUAACUUGUAAGAGUGUCACAAACUCAUGUAUGGUGCAUAUUGCUCACAGAAGGUUUGCCUUUUCACUUGCAGCAUAUACAAUAUCUUGCCCUGGGUGACAGCAAAAGGCAUUUACAAUUUUUUUCACUGGUUAAGUUUAAAUAGGAAAGUAUUGCUAGUCAUACUUUUCACAGAUAAGGCUACUUUCACCCAGAAUGGAAUGAAUAAUAUAAGAAAUAGCUAUCUGUGCACAGUGAUGUACCAAGGCAGGGCAGAGAGGCAUACCGCCCUGGGCCUCUGAUCAGGGGUCCUCCAAAGAACCUUAAGUUUUAAGUAUAUAUAUUGUUUCUUUAGUCUUAAGAUUUUUUUGUUUUCC
rnacentral:lncRNA from 1 species